AGCAGUCGCCGCGGUAAUACGGAGGGUGCAAGCGUUAAUCGGAAUUACUGGGCGUAAAGCGCACGCAGGCGGUCUGUCAAGUCAGAUGUGAAAUCCCCGGGCUUAACCUGGGAACUGCAUUUGAAACUGGCAGGCUAGAGUCUUGUAGAGGGGGGUAGAAUUCCAGGUGUAGCGGUGAAAUGCGUAGAGAUCUGGAGGAAUACCGGUGGCGAAGGCGGCCCCCUGGACAAAGACUGACGCUCAGGUGCGAAAGCGUGGGGAGCAAACAGGAUUAGAUACCCGCGUAGUCCCUGUCUCUUAUAC
rnacentral:rRNA from 1 species